GCACCGCGCACAGGCUGUGCCAAAGUCCACAGGCACCCUUCGGCCUCCAUCAUCGCGCCCUCUUCACAGAUGAGCAAACGGAGGCCAGACGUCACCGGCAGGCGGCGCUGCGGUGCGCGAGGCCUCGCACCUGCACGGGAAGCAGCGGAGAGGACGCAGGGCAGCAGGACUCCCUGGUCAGGGCCCCUGGGGCAGAUGCCGGAUUUGAGUUCUGACACUGUCACUUGCCAGCCGGCGACCUUGGGCAGGUGACUGUCAAGCGUCAGUGUUCCAUCUGCGAAAUGGAUGCAGGAGGCACGCAGAGAAGAGUUGAUGUUGUGCUACAGUAACAGAACCUUUGGUCCAGAGCCUGGGAUGUUGCCUUUUGCCCACUGGAAUUCCCAUCUUGGAAGAGUAAGCGCAGGGGAUUGUCCAGACAGCCAGGAGGCCAGCGAAGCCAAGUCCUUCAGUACAGCCUGGGAGCCUCCAGGAAGCUGUUAGGAGUUGCCAUGAUGGGUGCAUUUGGACUCACAGAAUCUGCCUUCCAAUCUCAGUGCUGCUUCUACUCCUUUGCUACCUUAGGUCUUUGAAGACAGGUCCAUACCUUGGGUGUUUGUAUUUGGACAACCACAGACAUUGCCAAGAAAUGUAUCUGUUCUACUUGCACACCUUCACCACCUGGAUGCUGCUUGAGGACACAGAUCUGGUCCAUCAGAUUUCUCUCUGUACUCCUCUCUAUAUUUCGCCAUAUUUGAUAUAGACCCAUCAAUGGCUCCCUAGAAUAAAAUCUCAACUCUUCACUGUGCCCACAGCCCCAGUGACCUUGCCACUUCCAUCAGAGCCCUCACACCAGUGCCCAGACAUACAGACUGACCUCCUGACCAUCCCCCAGAUGUGCUAAGGCCGGUUCUGCUUCUGGACUUCUGAACAGACAUGUUUGGUAAACCCAAACAUUUCAGAUGGUGAAUAGCUCUGAAAGCAAAGUAAGACAGGGUAGGGCAGGAAGGACUUCCAGCAAAGUCACCCCAGGCUGGCCCCUUUC
rnacentral:lncRNA from 10 species